rnacentral:rRNA from 1 species
GACGAACGCUGGCGGCGUGCUUAACACAUGCCAGUCGAACGGAAAGGCCCUGCUUUUGUGGGGUGCUCGAGUGGCGAACGGGUGAGUAACACGUGAGUAACCUGCCCUUGACUUUGGGAUAACUUCAGGAAACUGGGGCUAAUACCGGAUAGGAGCUCCUGCUGCAUGGUGGGGGUUGGAAAGUUUCGGCGGUUGGGGAUGGACUCGCGGCUUAUCGGCUUGUUGGUGGGGUAGUGGCUUACCAAGGCUUUGACGGGUAGCCGGCCUGAUAGGGUGACCGGCCACGUCGGGACUGAGAUGCGGCCCAGACUCCUACGGGAGGCAGCAGUGGGGAAUAUUGCACAAUGGGCGGAAGCCUGAUGCAGCAACGCCGCGUGCGGGAUGACGGCCUUCGGGUUGUAAUCCGCUUUCGCCUGUGACGAAGCGUGAGUGACGGUAAUGGGUAAAGAAGCACCGGCUAACUACGUG